rnacentral:lncRNA from 1 species
AAAGGAAUGAAAGGAGGCAGAGGCUUCAAAGGAGACCCAGUGAGGAAAAGCUACAAUUAUAUAUAAUCAUUCUUUAAUUAAGAUAAAAAUACAAUGAUAGUGAUUCACAAAGUGUGUCUCUGCAGGGGGAGCCUGGCAUCGAUGGAACAAUACCAGGAGAAAAGGUGAAAGACUGAUCCACUCAUCAUCCACAGAAAAUCAUCCUGACUGAUCUGUGCUGUUUCAGGGUGAUGCAGGACAGUAUGGUGAUCCAGGGCAGAACGGGGAGCAGGGAUCCAGAGGAGAACCAGGAACCAGAGGAAGUAUGGGAUUGAAGGGAACCCGAGGCCCUGAUGGGUACAGAGGCCAUCCAGGUCGAGCAGGACAUCCUGGUCUUACUGGAGACCCUGGACUACCUGGACAAGUCUUCAUCCUUCCAGGUCUGCAGGGGGACUCAGGAAGUGAAGGUCCAGUAAGCACCUGCAACUGUUCUCAAGUUCAAACCUCACAGAGACGGUCGAAUAGAAUCAAUACGGUCAGUGUCUCACACACACACACACACACACACACACACACACACACACACACACACACACUUAUUGUCCUGCUAACAGGUGUGGACUGAACAGCUCCCCCUGGUGGCCUCUGGUGUUAUCACACCUCCUGAAAUGCUCUCCUCUUCAGAUCUUUAUAGCAGAUGGAGAGAAGCAGAUGAGGCGGCUGCGGGUGGAGAACGUGAUGGUGCUGCGUACAGACAGGAGAGCUCUGUACAUCUACACCGAGUCCCAGUGGAUCAACAUGCUGGAGGACUCCAGAUACUGAACACAUCUGCUGCUCAGUGGAUGUCAGAUCAGACUGUGUGUUACUGGAUUUCUGCAUGUGCAAUAUUUCACUGCAGUUUACCUGUCCUCAGCAGUAACACAGAUGACCCUUACCUUGAUUUGAGUAAAUCUGCAGUGUUUCUUUCAUAUGAUGUAUGAAUGGAUGCUGCUGCUACUUCACAGAGACCAAUAAAGACUACUGUCAUAUGUGAAGUGACUGCA